UGGGGAAUUUUGGACAAUGGGCGAAAGCCUGAUCCAGCAAUGCCGCGUGUGUGAAGAAGGCCUUCGGGUUGUAAAGCACUUUUGUCCGGAAAGAAAUCCUUGGCUCUAAUACAGUCGGGGGAUGACGGUACCGGAAGAAUAAGCACCGGCUAACUACGUGCCAGCAGCCGCGGUAAUACGUAGGGUGCAAGCGUUAAUCGGAAUUACUGGGCGUAAAGCGUGCGCAGGCGGUUUGCUAAGACCGAUGUGAAAUCCCCGGGCUCAACCUGGGAACUGCAUUGGUGACUGGCAGGCUAGAGUAUGGCAGAGGGGGGUAGAAUUCCACGUGUAGCAGUGAAAUGCGUAGAGAUGUGGAGGAAUACCGAUGGCGAAGGCAGCCCCCUGGGCCAAUACUGACGCUCAUGCACGAAAGCGUGGGGAGCAAACAGGAUUAGAUACCCUGGUAGUCCACGCCCUAAACGAUGUCAACUAGUUGCUGGGGAUUCAUUUCCUUAGUAACGUAGCUAACGCGUGAAGUUGACCGCCUGGGGAGUACGGUCGCAAGAUUAAAACUCAAAUGAAUUGACGGGGUCAUAGCUGUUUCCU
rnacentral:rRNA from 1 species